CGUAGCUUAGCCAGGAAGAGCGUCGGCCUUAUAAGCCGAAGGUCCCGGGUUCAAAUCCCGGCG
rnacentral:tRNA from 1 species